rnacentral:rRNA from 1 species
AUUGAACGCUGGCGGCAGGCCUAACACAUGCAAGUCGAACGAGUGGCGGACGGGUGAGUAAUGUCUGGGAAACUGCCCGAUGGAGGGGGAUAACUACUGGAAACGGUAGCUAAUACCGCAUACCAUCGGAUGUGCCCAGAUGGGAUUAGCUAGUAGGUGGGGUAACGGCUCACCUAGGCGACGAUCCCUAGCUGGUCUGGGGGGAUGACCGGCAAAACGGGACCUGAGACACGGCCCAGACUCCUACGGGGGGCAGCGGUGGGGAAUAUUGCACAAUGGGGGCAGGCCUGAUGCGGCAAUGCCGCGUGUAUGAAGAGGGCCUUCGGGUUGUAAAGUACUUUCAGCGGGGAGGCGUUACUCGCAGAAGAAGCACCGGCUAACUCCGUGCCAGCAGCCGCGGUAAUUC